GACGAACGCUGGCGGCGUGCUUAACACAUGCAAGUCGAACGGAAAGGCCUGCUUUCCCUUGUGGAUUGCGGGUACUCGAGUGGCGAACGGGUGAGUAACACGUGAGUGAUCUGCCCCCAACUUGGGGAUAAGCCUGGGAAACUGGGUCUAAUUCCCGAUAGGACUGCAGGGUGGUGCCUGUGGUGGAAAACGAUUUUCUAGUGGUUGGGGAUGAGCUCGCGGCCUAUCAGCUUGUUGGUGGGGUAAUGGCCUACCAAGGCGGCGACGGGUAGCCGGCCUGGGAGGGUGGACGGCCACAUUGGGACGGAGAUACGGGCCAGACUCCUACGGGAGGCAGCAGUGGGGAAUAUUGCACAAUGGGCGGAAGCAUGAUGCAGCGACGCCGCGUGGGGGAUGACGGCCUUCGGGUUGUAAACUCCUUUCGACCGCGAGGAAGCCACCUGGUGGGAAGGGUGGUGACGGUAGUGGUAGAAGAAGCACCGGCUAAUUACGG
rnacentral:rRNA from 1 species